rnacentral:lncRNA from 1 species
CGCCUCUUCGCCAGAUGUCAUCUGGGAGUGUUCCUGGCUCUUCUGGAGAGAACAUGAUUUACUAUCUCCUAACUGGUGUUGCUGCUUUUGGUGGUUUAUUUUAUGCCUACAGAGUAGUCACUUCAUCCCGCACCAAGUAUAUUGAACAUCUGAAUAUUCUUCAGGAGAGAGCUGAAGGGCGGAAAAACAAACCUUGGUCAAGCAAGGGUUCACUUCUGCAAGGUACUGAGCUUUAACCUUAGUCUACCAAAAUGUUUGAGUGGGAUACCUGCAGAGUCAGUGGUGCUGUUGACCCACUGAAGGCUAUACCUGUGUUGCCUGAGACUGGGGUAAGAGUACUCAGUGCUCUGUUAACUUCCUUAAUUCUGACUUCAGGUACUCUCCAGACAUCCCAUAAUCUGAUGCUUUGUGCUGCUUAGUAACUUUACAUAAAUGUCACAACCAAUGGCAGAUGAUUGCUGCCUCCCUUCUUAUUGACUGGAUGAAGUCCAAAACAUUUCUAAGGCCAUACAGUGAACCUGAUUUCCUAUAUUAUUUUCAAUAUUGGACUUCUGAAUCAAUGCUCAACCCAGAGGUUUUAACUGGACUUCUGAGUUGCUAAUUCCAAUUCACAAUACAAAACUACUGUUGAAUCAGCUCUUUUUAAAAUCCUUCACCAUUCCCAACUGUAUCCUCCCAAAAGAGAUUUCUGUUCUUAUUUUUCCUCUGGAAUCUUCUGUGUGCUUUCUCAAAAGAAUUAACGUCUCUCUUCCCCCCCUUUUUCCCUGUUGCUGCACAGUCAUAUUUUUGUGUCUAUCUUGUCACAGAGUGCUACCCUAGUAUUGCUUUUCCCAGAAAUGCCACUGCAGCUUCUUUCCCCACACACUCUUUAGAUUCAGGUAGUCCUUAUGCUCUUUCACAGUAAGCAUUGCUGAUAAGAGCAAUUAAAAAUUCUCGUCUUGAAGUAAUCUAGAUUUUUUAAGGAACACAUAAAAUCAAGCUUAAAAUAAGCUAUAAACCAGUGCUGGUAAUAAUAGGAAGUGGUGGAUAGAAAAGCAGAAUGCCAAACACCACAUUCAUGGCAUAGUUGCUACAUGUCCUGUGGUAAGAGAAGAACUUUCUAGCUGGAAAAACUUAAUACUAGGCAGCAGCUGAUCAGAGAGAGACCUCCUUGAUAUGAGUGAUUUUUGUGGUUUCUCAUCCUGAGGAAAAUUCUCCCCUUGUGCCCAGACCCAAAAUGUUGGUUAUAAAGAACUG